CUAAUAUACACCAGAGCAAGGAACCUGCAAGGAACAGAAGAGGGGAAAAAUAAAGAGGAGUGAAAACAAAGAGCCAGUUUCUGCUCUAAGGUGGCUAGAAGAGGAAUCAGCUGUGGGAUUACCUACUCUAAUGAUACAAGUCAGACAGCUUUGCCUGGCAGGAGUGGGGCUAUGAAGACAACAGACUCCUCCAACAGAAGCUACAAGUUGCACCACUCACUCCAGCAGUGCCUGGUAUCCGCUGGAUUACACGCACAUUCAGGAAGGGACCAUUUGGACGAUACAUGUUGCCACAUCCUGGUAACGGAGAUCUGCCAGCUCCAGCGAGCCUCCCGUACCACGCUGAGCAUCCCUACAGCUACCUCUGCGUAACCCUCCUGGGGGCAGGUCCUCC